AAAAAAAUCAUAAAGCAAGGCUGCUGCUUCGCAGGAGACCCAGUGCUCUCUGGGCAGGCUCGGAGGCACGAUGCACCUCCUGCCAAACUUUUCUUUUGUCACUUGGCUGCUCCUCGUCGCUUUCCUUGGCCUCCUGGUCCUCUAUGGGAUAUGGCCCUUCCGGGCCUUCAAGAAGCUGGGCAUUCCCGGGCCGCGGCCUCUGCCGUUUUUUGGGACUUUCCUGGAGUACCGGCAAGGAAUCCUGCAGUUUGAUCAGAAGUGCUUUGAAAAAUAUGGUAAAAUCUGGGGGAUUUUUGACGGCAGGCAGCCCGUGCUGGUCGUCCUGGACACCGUCCUCAUCAAAAACAUCCUGGUGAAGGAGUGCUAUAACAUUUUCACCAAUCGCCGGAACUUUGGUCUGAACGGGAUCCUGGAUUCCGCCGUCAAUGUGGCUGAGGAUGAGAAGUGGAAAAGAAUUCGCACUAUCCUGUCUCCAACCUUCACCAGCGGGAAGCUGAAGGAGAUGUUCCCUGUCAUUAUUCACUAUGGUGAAAAACUGGUGAAAAACAUUGAGAAGAAAGUGGCUAAUGGUGAUGUUGUGAACACAAAGGACAUUUUUGGAGCCUACAGCAUGGAUGUGGUGACCAGCACUUCUUUCAGUGUGAAUAUUGACUCCAUGAGCAACCCCAGUGACCCCUUUGUCACCAACAUUAAGAAAUUCCUCAAAUUCAGUUUCCUAAACCCCGUGUUCGUGUUCUUAGUGUUGUUCCCCUUUGUUAUCCCAGUGCUGGAAAAGAUGAAUGUUACUCUGUUACCCUCAGAAGUCAUAGACUUCUUCAGUGCAGUCUUCAUAAAAAUGAAGAAGGAACGGGAAAAGGGUGGCAGCAAGAACCGGGUUGAUUUCCUGCAACUCAUGGUUGACUCGCAGAGCUCACACGACAGCUCCAAGUCUGCUGAGACCGACUCGUACAAAUCAUUAAGCGAUGAGGAAAUUCUGGCCCAGGCUCUUAUCUUUGUCUUUGCUGGCUAUGAGACCACCAGCUCCACUCUCAACUACAUAGCGUAUAACCUGGCCACCCACCCCGACGUGCAGCAGCGACUCCAGGACGAGAUUGAUGCAAACCUGCCCGACAAGGCUACUCCCACGUACAACGCCAUCACGCAGAUGGAGUACCUUGAUAUGGUGGUGAACGAAUGCCUCCGGCUCUUCCCCAUUGGGGGCCGGAUUGAGAGGGUCUGCAAGAAGACGGUGGAGAUCAAUGGUGUGACUAUUCCAAAGGGCAUGGUGGUCAUGAUCCCAGUCUACGUGAUGCAUCGUGACCCAGAGUACUGGCCAGAGCCAGAGGAGUUCAGGCCUGAGAGGUUCUCUAAAGAGAGCAAGGAGUCUAUUGACCCCUACACCUUCCUGCCGUUCGGGGCUGGCCCCAGGAACUGCAUAGGAAUGAGGUUUGCUCUCCUCACCCUGAAAGUGGCCGUGGUCGUCCUCCUGCAAAACUUCUCGUUCAGAACCUGCAAAGACACUCCGGUCCCACUGGUUCUGGACACGAAAGGUUUCAUGCAACCCAAGGAGCCCAUCGUCCUGAAGAUGGUCCCCAGAGGCCAUGCUGAUCUGAAGAAGUGAAGGAAGCGGGAACGGAUCAGGGACUCUUGUUUGAUGGCGCCUCCUCUGACUCUCCAGAGGAGACCCAGACUGACGUGUGCGCUUCAGAAAUGUCCGUGGUGCAAACCCCCAAUUUCACAACAGGGCGUUAGGGGUUUGGCCCAGGAUGGCUUUUGCGUGAUGCGGAUUGCAGAUGAGUUGAGUGGAGCAGCCCAGAGACAAGCAGUUGCCCCGACUGGCUGGAGAUGUGCAGAGUGGGAGAGAAGUGCCCCGCACGUGUUUCCUGAUUGUUUGAUUAUUUUACUGCGGGCGUGCAGACAUCCCCCGUAGAUGGAUUGUCAACAGAGGCACCAUCUAUGCUGCUGUCAUGACACCUUUUGGUCUCUGAUUUCUAUUAGGCCACUUGUAAGACCGAAUUAACUGAAUUAAUAAUGAUGCAGAGUGCAGCACUGAGAGCCUUCAGGUGUCCUGGAGAACCCUAGUCUGGAAGAAAGGUGUUGCCUUUGGCUAAUGUGAGCUGGAAGGUCUUGCUAGACUGCCAUUUUUGUAGAUUCUGGAAGACCUGUAUGCUCACAUUUCAUAUUAUUCCUCCAGGAAGUGCUACUGGAGGGUUAACUGCAAUAAAAAGCUCCCUUACCUCUUCUGUAACCAGCUGAUGCCAGUCUCUGAUUCUGUUCUUUCCUCUAUACACAAGUGGAUACGCAAGUGAAGGUAGAUUUAGAUUGGAUCUCAGGAAGAAAUUCUUUGCUGUGAGGGUGGUGAGGCACUGGAACACGUUGCCCAGAGAAGCUGUGGCUGCCCCGUCCCUGGAGGGGUUCAAGGCCAGGUUGGACGGGGCUUGGAGCAACCUGGGCUGGUGGGAGGUGUCCCUGCCCAGGGCAGGGGGGUUGGAACUAGGUGAUCUUUGAGGUCCCUUCCAACCCAAACCAUUCUAUGAUUCUAUGAGUCUAACUGUAGGUCUCAUAAGUCAUUGGCCAGACAACGAUGUGGACUCAUCACCUUUCCCAGAUGGGCUGGGCUCCUUUGGUGGGAUCCUCAAAGGAGAUCCUCCCUCUGCCUCAAAAAUCAGUGCCACAGAGCAGAGACAGAAGUUCUCUUUUGCAAUUCAUUCUUCCACUGGCCUUGUAGCAUCACAAAUUACUGAGGGUUUGGUCUCGCCAGUCUCAGCCAAGCAUUUGUCGUUCUCUGAAAGUAGAGGGGUUCGAUUCCAGCAUCUGCUCCAUGCUGCAAACCACCUGACCUCGUCCUGGGUUCAAAGUGCUCUCCGUGCUCCCUCCUGAGCUCCUCAUGCACCUACGUCAGUGCACCCUUCCACUGGAGGACGUCUUCUGCUUCCAAGCUGUCAAAGUUCAGCGCUGGGUGAAAUACGUGCAUGUGCGUCUACAGCUAACCCAGCCACCACCACCUACAGUGCUGCUUGCGUUCCUGCAGGAUGAAAACUCAUUAUGCCUCGGAUGAAUCCAAGUCACUACCUCAUGUGUAUCGUCAGUAGGAAGAGCUGCUUCUGGCGAUGUGGA